GCUAGGCAUGGUGGCCUAUGCCUGUAAUCCCAGCAGCUCAGGAGGCUGAGGCAGAAGGACCACAAGUUCAAAGCCAGUCUAAGCAAAAGUGAGGUGCUAAGCAACUCAGUGAGACCCUGUCUCUA
rnacentral:sRNA from 1 species